AUUGAACGCUGGCGGCAGGCCUAACACAUGCAAGUCGAACGAGUGGCGGACGGGUGAGUAAUGUCUGGGAAACUGCCUGAUAGAGGGGGAUAACUACUGGAAACGGUAGCUAAUACCGCAUACCCUCGGAUGUGCCCAGAUGGGAUUAGCUAGUAGGUUGGGUAAUGGCUAACCUAGGCGACGAUCCCUAGCUUGUCUGAGAGGAUGACCAGCCACACUGGAACUGAGACACGGUCCAGACUCCUACGGGAGGCAGCAGUGGUGAAUAUUGCACAAUGGGCGCAAGCCUGAUGCAGCCAUGCCGCGUGUAUGAAGAAGGCCUUCGGUUUGUAAAGUACUUUCAGCGGGGAGGCGUUACCCGCAGAAGAAGCACCGGCUAACUCCGUGCCAGCAGCCGCGGUAAUAC
rnacentral:rRNA from 1 species